rnacentral:lncRNA from 1 species
CACCUGACCAUGGUUUCAGACCCCAACACCCUUCACCACCUCAACUCCCUGCACCUGCAUUUAACAUGAGGGGUGUUUCUCAAGGUAGGGACUGAUUUCUGAAAUAUUAGUGAAUUGGAAGGCCCCAAAGUGUAUUAUUAGUCAUUGUUAAGAGAUGACUACCAUUUAAUUAAAAAAAAAUGUUCCCACUCUCUCACACUGCCCAACUCACUAUGGGCCAGGAACGGCAGUCCCUCCGCACCAGCCCUCAACAUGAGGCGAACAAAGGAGCCCUCUUCAAGCCUGGCCUAUAGACCAACAUGGCGAGGGGGAAUAAUGACCGAUACCAUUCCCUGCUCUGCGGCUGAGGUCCACAUCCUUAGCCUGCUGGAGACCAUUAAACAGCAACAAGACCAGCUUGUGGCAAAGGUGAACUACCUCAGCAGCAGGCUGAACAGCAACCCCGGGGCCAGAUGUUGAGAUGCCGGACAAUAUCCAGUUUCCCCUGGAACAAUUGGAGGCAGUGGAGGCAUUUGAAAUGUUUUUAAAGGAACCGUCAAAUGGCCCAGCUCGACAGAGAGUGAUUUCUUCUUUGGCCACCAUUGAAGGUCAGGAUGUGAAGAGGGUGACCUGGAACAUCCUGGCCAGGCUCUUCACGGAUGAGGUAUCUCAUCAGAUAAACUGGAAGGGUGUUAAUAACAAAAAGUCCUUCAGUAGGAUGGCAACGAAGAUCUUGCUUUUCAGUGCUGUGAGGAAAAACACAGUGACACUCAGCCACAGACACAGAGGUCACCAAGCACGCAAUCAGGUGGUUCAACCUGGCAGCGGAUCGGGCAACGAGGAGACGUGUCCCGCCUCUAGCCAGACAAAUGGAGUAAUAGGAGAAAUAAACAAUAUUUUUUUUGAACAUCUUGUCGUUCACCAGUUAUUAAUUUUC